rnacentral:lncRNA from 1 species
AGGGCAAUGGUGCAAGUAGGGAAGCAUCUCUGGAUAUAUCAAAACCAGAUACUGAGAGAAGGGCUCCAUCUCUGCCUUCUGAAACCACCACGGUUUCCGAUGAUUUAAGAGCCAAAAUUCGAGCCAUGCUGAUGGCCACCUUGUAAUUAUCAACUUGACCCUGUUUUUCAGUUUGUACUUUAUAGUUGCCAUGUUUGUUUUCCUGAUUGCAACCAUCUAACUUAUUAUUUCUCCCAGUUUUAAUUGAUGAAUUCCUUUUCUAACCAUAAAUUUCUUCACUUUCCGGUUCAUUAAUCAAAUUUCGAAUUUAUGGAUAUCAAUGGAAAGAGGUUGGGUAGGGAAGAGUAUUUUCCAUCUUUAUAUUCAAAUUUUUAUAUUAUAUUUAUCUUUGUAUAUAUAUCGGAUGAAUAUUUUAAAUUUAUUUUCAUUUUCAUUCUCAUGAUUAUUCAUGGUUAUUCAAUGGGUAUGAAAAAUUUGCAUACCCACAGCAUUUAAAAAAAAUAAAAAUAAAAAUUUAUAUUUAAUUUUAUAUAUUUAGAUAAAUUUUUUUAUAAAUGUUUAUUAAUAUAUAUUUUUAAUAAAAAUAUAUUAAUUUUAAUUAAUUUAAAAUAAUAAUUUAUAUUAUUUAAUAAAAAAUUUAUUUAUUAAAUACAUAUAUAUAAAUAUAUAUGGAGUACGGGACAUUAUAUUAUCUAUCUUUAUUUUUGUACUCAAUAAAAAUUUAAAAUUAUAUUAAUUUUUAUCUUGAGGUUAAUAAUAUAAUAUUUAUCUUCAUCUUUAUUUAGAUAAAAAAUUAAUUUUUUAUUAGAUAUAAAUAAAAUUGAUAUCUCUAUUUCAAUUACUUGCAAAUUUCAUGUUAUUAUAUCAAUGAGCAUUUUUUUUAUUUGAAAUAGUUAACGUAAAUAAAUUAUUUAAUCUUUUAAAUUAAAAUAAAAUAUGUUGUAUAAAAUAAUUUAUCAUAAUUAUUACUCAUAAAAUAUGUUGUAUAAAAUAACUGGAUUCGAAGUCAAGAUUUUUACGUUAAAAAAAAAUAAUUCUUGCUAAUUGAAUUAACCUCUCGUUGAUUAAGAGUUUUUUAUUUAUUUAUUUUAAUUUUUUUAUAAUAAAAUAGAGCUGCCCUCGUGCCGACUCAACUUAAAAUAUUAAAAAUUAGUAGCGAGGAAAAUGAGAAACUAACUUCUCAAGUAAGAUCAUGAAGAUAGAAGAAAAGAGUGAUUUCGGCUAAAAUUUUCUAUUAACUUGUGAUAACCAAUAAUUGUUGUCAUGUUUUAGCACAAGGAAAGCUUAAAAAAAAAAAACAACUUUUGCUUUGAAUUUGAGCUUGGAAUUUUUUUUUUCAAACCGCAGGUGUCAUGGGAAGACAGAAAGUAGUACAUCACAUCCAGCAUAUCUAGUUUGACUGUUACAAUUUUCUUAGAUAUAUAAAUAUUUAUAAAAUUUUUUUUUAAAUAUAAAUUUCUGAUAAAUGUUUUUUUUAAUUAAAAUAUUAUAUUUUAAAUGAUUAGAUUUAAUAACAGUAGUGAUAUUUAGAUCAAGCGGCUGAGAAUAACCAAUUAUUAAAUGGAUUUUGACGUGUCAAAUGAUUAAAAGCCAGUACUUAGUCGCGUGGCAGUCUAAGGCAGCUAAGUAUUGCUCAAAUUUCAAAUCAAAGCCGCCACUUACAACUACUUUACACUAAAAGAAUAAACGUGUGAAGACUACGUUCUUGGUCUUUUUUUUUUAUAUAAAAAUAUAGUUUUUAUUAUUAUUAUAUUUAUAUAUAAAAAUUUAGUUAAAGGUAUAAAAAUAUUAUUUUAUAAUAUUAUAUCAAUUAUCAAAUUUUUACAUAAAAAAUAUUAUUAAUAUGAAAAUAUUUAUUUUAUUAUUGUUUUAAUAAAUUUAUGGCAUUUUAUAUAUAAAAAAAGAUAAUAUUUUUAAAAAUAAAAAACUUCAAAAAUUAAAAAUUAAAUUUAAUCACUAAAUUUGUUUUAUUAAAAAAAUUAUUGUUAUUAUAAGUAAUAUUUUACAAUCAUAUUCAGUGCGAAGUAUCUAAUUUUAAUUUAUGAUUAAGAUUAUAUUUUUAUCAAAUCAAAUGGUUAAGAAUUAUUUUUGUCAAAAUGAAUAUGUAAUUAAAUUGGUUUUUAAGGAUAAAAUAGAUAAAAAAAAUUAAUAUCUAUUAUUCAAAUACGAAAAUCAUAUUUCAAAAAUUAAAAUCUCAAAAGAAUAUUUAAAUUUAAUCGAAUCUAAUGCCCUCUAAAAAGUUAUUAAAACUUUAAGAGACCCAUUUAAUAUUUGGGGUCAAAGGCAAAUAUCCAAUUUGACCAUCAAAGAUGGAUAGUCGAAUCCAUCUUCCCAAUCAAACCGAUUGGUUUUUGGCUUUUCCUUCUUUCCCCAUUUCUUUCUCUUGCCAAUAUUGGAAUUUAUCCAAAAUUUCAACCUGGCCAUUUCCUCUCCUCCCCCCCUCCCCCCCUUCCUUUUGUUUUUCAAAAUCUGCUACAUUUCUUCUUUAAACAUAUAAUUGAAAACCCAAAGUUUUCCACGUCGAAAGAUUGCCACGUUGAAAAAAAAUACUUUCAUUUAUAUCAUCAAAUUUGUAAUUUUUUUUUAAAUUUCGAAAUAGAUAGAUUAUUUAAUUUUUCAAGUUACGACACGUUAAUAUGAGAUAGAUAAAUUAUUUAAUUUUUCAAGUCAAGAUAUAAUAUGGUGUAUCUGAUAAUUUAAAACAUGUGGCUAUAAUACUUCUUCAAGAUAAAUAAAUUGCUUAGUCUUUUAAGUUACAGCACAUCAAUCCAAAGUAAAUAGAUUACUUAAUCUUUUAAGUCAAUAUAAGAUAUAUCAUAUAUAAAAUCUAAAAUAUGUGAUUACAGUUUUUUCAUUUGAUAUGAUUCCAACAAAUAACUAUCGAUGACACUUAAAUCCAAAAUUUCUUUUAUUGAGAAAGAUGAAUUUUGAUUAAUUAAAUCAACCACUUAUUAGUAACAAAUUUAAUAUAUUGUUGACUGAAUUACAACUAUAUUUUUAUUUUAAAAAAUUAAAACAAAAAUGCUAAACUUGAUUGAUUAUGUAUGAAAACAACAUAUAUAUGUGUUGUGCCUGAAGUAAUAAUCACAACAAUAUAGAAGCAAUAGACAACAAUCAAUAAUUAAAUAUGCAGGAAAAAUAAAGCACACUAAGAUUUACGUGAAAAACCCUCCAGUGUAGAGGAAAAAAACUACGGGCCACCAGAAAAAUCUUCACUAUCAAAUAAUAGUUAUACAAAGUUCUUCUCUAGCUAAAACUAGAGCUAAUCAAUAACUAGAGAAACAAUUGAAGAAAUCUCACCAAAUAAAUGACUCAACAAAUAUACCAUGGAUUUGUUCCUAGAGAGCUUCAAACCCGAUCUUCACCUUUCAGAAUAUAGAACUCUGAAUCAUAAACCUCCUAACAAGGUUCUGACUCAAUCGGACCACGGAUCGACUUCCGUUCAACCAACUCUUCCUUCUCCUUUUUCUCUCUCUGCUUUUCCUAGCUUUUCUUCUUUCUCUACUUGGUUUUCAACACACACUUAAAACAACCCCACCUUUUUUUUAUUAAGUAGCUAGGACUCUAUGUAAAAUAAAAGAUCAAGGCCCAUGGCCUUUACUUGGUCCAAAACCACUUACAUGGGACUGGACCCCAUUUUCCUAACAAUCUCCCCCUCUAGCCCCAUUAGGAGGAGAUUCAUCAUCAUAGCAGUUUCAUUUGAACUUACCUUGGUCAGGGAACUCAUUCCGACCAAGUUACUGCAAAGCUCAAGCUUUUUCCUAGGAAGUAUCUUAGUCAACAUAUCUGCUACAUUCUUAUCAGUAUGGAUUUUCUUCAAUAACAUCUGCUGUUCUUCAAUCACUGAACGUAACCAAUGAUAUCUAACAUCAAUGUACUUUGUUCUAGCAUGGUACAUGGUAUUCUUACUCAAAUCUAAAGUACUCUGGCUAUCACAAAAUAUCACAUACUCUUUCUGAUUCAACCCCAAUUCAAAAAGAAAACGUUUCAUCCAAAGCAUUUCUUUACAUGCUUCGGUUGCUGCAAUAUAUUCAGCCUCUGUAGUUGACAAAGCAACACACUUCUGUAACUUAGAUUGCCAAGAUACAGUUUCUCCUGCAAAAGUGAAAAAAUACCCUGAAGUAGAUUUCCUACCAUCAAGAUCGCUUGCCAUGUCAGCAUCAGUAAACCCUUCUAGAACUGGUUGUGAAACUCCAUAAGUCAAGCACAUUUUUGAGGUACCAUUCAAAUAUCUAAAAAUCUAUUUCACUGCUUUCCAGUGAACCUUCCUUGGAUUAGAAAGAAAUCUGCUCACUAAACCAACUGCAUAAGCAAUGUCAGGCCUUGUACAAACCAUAAGAUACAUUAAAGAACCGACUGCAGAAGAAUAAAAAAUACUAGACAUAGCUAGUUGCUCUUCCUUAGACACUGGACAAGAUUUCUUACUUAGAUGAAAAUGGUUAGCAAGUGAACUGCUAACUGAUUUAGCAUGUUGCAUGUUGAAUCUACCAAGCACUCGUUCAACAUACUUUUUCUGUGACAACCACAGCUUUUCAGCUCUCCUAUCCCGGAUAAUGUCCAUACCAACAAUCUGUUUUGUUGGACCUAAAUCCUUCAUAUCAAAGGACUUAGACAAUUGUUCUUUCAACCUGCAAACCAUACUAGCAUCUUGUCUUACAAUCAACAUAUCAUCAACAUAUAAUAAUAGGAUAAUGAAAUUACCAUUAGGGAAUUGUUUAACAUACACACAAGAAUCCACUGUUAUUUUUUUAUAGUUAUGACUCACCAUAAAAGAAUCAAAUUUCUUGUACCACUGUCACGGAGCUUGUUUCAAGCCAUACAAGCUUUUUUUCAAUUUGUAAACUAAGUGCUCUUUCCCUUUCACUUCAAAACCCUCAGGCUGAUUCAUAUAAAUGUCCUCCUGUAAAUCACCAUGUAAAAAUGCAGUUUUAACAUCAAGUUGCUCAAGUUUAAGAUUCAAACUAGCUGCCAAUCUCAGUACCACUCGAAUAGAACUCAUUUUUACAACUGGAGCAAAAAUCUCAUCAAAGUCGAUGCCUGGUUUCUAAGAAGAACUUUUUACUACCAAUCGAACUUUGUACCUCACUAGUUUGUCACCAUCUUUUUUCAACUUGAACACCCAUUUAUUCUUUAAUGACCUCUUCCCUGUUGAAAGUUUAACAAGAUCAUAAGUACUAUUCUUUCGCAAUGACUCCAUCUCUUAUUUCAUUACUUUUAACCAGUGCUCUCUAUCCGGAGUAGCCUGCACAUCUUGAAAGCUUUCUGGCUCCCCUUCACUGGUAACUAAAAUAAAAUCUAAACUUGGAUACCUGGUAGAUGACCUGCGCUCUCUAGUAGAUCUCCUGGGUUAAGACUCUACAUCACUUGAUGCUGAAGGUAGCUUCCCCUACUCAACACUCUCAGGUAGAGAGGAUUGCUCCCCCUGUUCAAAACUAAUAACAUCUGGCUCAUCACCAACUGUAGCUGGCUCAUUUAUAUCCCUAAGUUCUGUUUCUUGCUCAUUUUCACCAUCUGUGGCUCUUUCCUGUGAAAUCCCUGUCGGUGUUGAAACAUCACACUCAACAGUAACCUGUGUAGUCUUCUCAUUUUUUUCAAAGUCUGCUAUGGUUUCUUUUUCAUGAAAGACCACAUCCCUGUUUCUGACUGUCUUUCUCUUUACUAGAUCUCAUACCCUGUAGCCAAAUUCCUCAUCACCAUAUCCUAUAAAUACACACUGUGUAGCUUUACUGUCAAGCUUUGAUCUCUGUUCUUUCGGCACAUGUAUGAAUGCUUUACACCCAAAAACUUUCAAGUAAGAGUAUGAAGUAUCUUUCCCUGUCCACACUCUUUCUGGAAUGUCAAAGCCCAAAGGAACUGAUGGUGACCUGUUAAGUAAAUAACAAGCUAUGUUGACUGUUUCACCCUAGAAUGGCUUUGAUAAUUUUGCCAUCCUCAAUAUACAUCUAACUUUUUCCACAAUGGUGCGAUUUAUUCUUUCAGCUAUACCAUUAUGCUGCGGUGUUCCAGGUUCUGUCCUCUCAUGUCUGAUCCCAUGCUUUGAGCAAUACUUUUCAAAGUCUUUAGAUGUGUAUUCCCCACCAUUAUCAGUUCGAAUACACUUCAAGGGUAACCUUGUCAUCCUUUCAACCAUGGCAUGAAAUUUUUGAAAAUACUGUAGUACCUGACUUUUGUAUUUCAACAUAUACACCCAAGUCUUACGUGAAGCAUCAUCAAUAAAAGUAACAAAAUAUCUGCUACCACCUAAUGACUCAACCUCAAUGGGACCACAUACGUCAGAAUAAAUUAAUUCCAAUCUAUUUUCUUUUCUCUGAGAACUUUUACGAAAAGAAACUCUAUGAUGCUUACCAAAUAAAUAAUAAUCACAUGAAUCGAGAGAUAUACCUUUGGUCAAGGGAAUGAGAGACUGCCUUGCCAAAACUUGUAAUCCUUUUUCACUCAUGUGUGUCAGCCUCCUGUGUCACAAGUUUACUGAAGCAUCAUUUUCAACGGUAUUUACCUGGUUACCGUUCAAUUGCAUCCAUGUCUUAUACAUUGUGCAGCAUAGUUUUCCCCUUGUAACUACCAUAGAUCCUUUGAGAAGCUUUCAUUGUCCUUUCUUUUGUCGGCUUUCAUAUCCCUCCUUAUCAAGGACAUUAAUAGCAAGCAAGUUUAUUCUCAUAUCUGGAAUGUGUCUAACAUCCCUUAAAGUUAACAUGCAGCUUGUACUAGUUUGUACAACAAUAUCACCAAUCCCAACAAUCUGCGACACACUCUUGUUUCCCAUCUUGAUACAACCAAAGUCUCCUGCUUUGUAAGUUGUAAACAACUCUCUCUUAGGAACACAAUGAUAUGCCACUCCUGUGUCAACUAUCCACUGAAUACCGGGAUCACUAACAUGAUUACAAUCACCAUGUGUACAAAUCAAAGUAACUGAAUCACUAUCUGAAUUCACUGCUGUAGCAUUACUAUCAUCUGAACUCUUACCUUUCUCAUAUUUUCGCUCUUGCUUCAAGAUUUUACAGUUUCAUUUUAUAUGACCCGCCUUACCACAAUGAAAACAUUUCACUUUACCUCUAGACUUGGAUCUAUGUUUAGACUUACAAGUUACAAUCUUUUUAACAAGCAUAACUUUAUUCAUACCUAUUUUUCUCUCAUACAAUGCUGCCAUUUUUUCUCAAAUAAUGUGAGCAUUUGACUCCUGCGCUACAUGAUGAACACGCUGAUAUCAACCAUUUUCUGAUUGUAGCCAGCAUCUUUCUACCUAGCUUCUUUCAGCUUUCAUCUUUCAUAUCUGCUGGUUUAGCCGAAUCACCCAAUACUGGCUCAUACAAAUCUUUGCAGUAUAGAUGAUCCUCCAUCAUAGGCUUUCAAAUUGAAUAAUUCGAUGCUGUCAAUUUUAUCAUGGAACUGUAUCACCCUCCAUGAUCUCAAACAAAAUUUAUUUCUAUCCUGGGUUGCUUCUGUAUCGAUGUCUCAAAAUAACCCUCGCUCUGAUACCACUUGUUGCGCCUGAAGCAAUAAUCACAACAAUAUAGAAGCAAUAGACAACAAUCAAUAAUCAAAUAUGCAGGAAAAAUAAAGCACACCAAGAUUUACGUGGAAAACCCUCCAGUGUAGAGGAAAAAACCAUGGCCACCAGAAAAAUCUUCACUAUCAAAUAAUAGUUAUACAAAGUUCUUCUCUAGCUAAAACUAGAGCUAAUCAACAACUAAAGAAACAAUUGGAGAAAUCUCAUCAAAUAAGUGACUCAACAAAUACACCCUGGAUUUGUUCCUAGAGAGCUUCAAACCCGAUCUUCACCGUUCAGAAUGUAGAACUCUGAAUCAUAAACCUCCUGACAAGGUUCUAACUCAAUCGGACCACGGAUCGACUUCCGUUCAACCAACUCUCCCUUCUCUUUUUUCUCUCUCUGCUUUUUCCUGGCUUUUCUUCUUUCUUUACUUGGUUUUCGACACACACCUAAAACAACCCUACCUUUUUUUAUUAAGUAGCUAGGGCUCUAUGUAAAAUAAAAGAUCAAAGCCCAUGGCCUUUACUUAGUCCAAAACCACUUACAUGAGACUGGACCCCAUUUUCCUAACAAUAUGAUCAUGGUGAAGUAGUCAAAGUCAUAUAAGAUCCUCAUAAUGAUUUAUAAUAUAUAAUAAUAAUUUUGAAGUAGUUGUCCUAUCACAUUUAUCAUGAAUUAAUUAAUAUAUUUCUUAAUUUUAUAUUUCCCAAACAAAGCAGAAGUAAUUACCAUACUCUACUUGGACUUUUGCUUCCCUUUAGUUUUUCAACUUAUCAUUAUUUGCUACAAAUUAUUAACUUUCGUGUAUCAAUGGCCUAUGACUUCAUUUUCCUUUUUCUAUACUUUAAGGAGAGCAUUCAGCAUUAAUGAAAACUCCAAAAAAUCCUACAAACAAUGACGCCCUAAGGCUUGCAUGUUUCCAUGGCAUCCAUGAUUAGUCCUAAUACCUAAAAUAUGUUUAUAUGAUACUUAUCCAACGUGGCUGUCUGAUAGUUGAGUAAGGUGCAUGUGUUUUUCUAAGGCUUACAAUGUCUAAGUUUCAGAUGCUCGGAGCACAGAUGCAGUUCUUGUUCUAUGUCAUGACAAUGGGGCAUCCAGGUGGGAUUAGGAUGAUAGAAAUUCGUUACUUUUCAGGAAUCUUAUUCACUUGAGAGCAAAUGGGAUGUGAUACAUAUCUUCCUAGGAGUUCUGUUUCUUGAUCUUUGUGCUUAUCUGAAUAUAUGUGAGAUUCUGUGGUUUUCUUUUUUUCAUUUUUAAUUCUUUGGGAAUGUUAGUAAGUUUUUAAUCACUUUUGGGACUUUGCAGUUGUUAAAUUCUCAUCAUUGACUGGAAAACCUUUUUCUUUUUCUUCUUCAGCCUCCUACAGAGAAAGUACAUCAGAUCAUUGCAAGAACAGCUAUGUUUGCAAGCAGACAUGGCGGACAAUCAGAGAUUGUUUUGCGGGUCAAACAAGGAGACAACCCUACGUUUGGCUUCUUGAUGCCCGAUCAUCCACUUCACCCAUACUUUAGAUUUCUUGUUGAUCACCAAGAACCUUUGAGCAGCAACUCCGUAGAUGAAGAGAGCAAAACUGACAGUACACUUGAUCAGGCAGGUAGUGUUAAAGGAGGAGGUGCAUUAUCUUUGCUUGGUACUGUAUACGGUUCUGGAGAAGAUGAGGAAGGUGCAAUGGGGAAUGCUACUGAGCUUAAGGGAAAGGAAUCUGUUGGAGCUGAUGUUGCUAUUAAUAAAACAUCAACAGAUGGAUCGGAGCAGAAAGCAUCUUCUUUAGGUGUCAAUGGGAAAGAUGAGACAGUUGCAAAGCAUUCAGCUUCUUUAAAGGAAAAGGCUUCUCUGAUAAAAAGAAAUCUUUCGAUAACAACAGUUAAGACUGGAACAACAACAGGGGUGAAGAAAGAAAGUGAUACCUCUGCUACUGAGAAGUCACGAGCCUCUUCUUCGUCGACCACAUCAAAGGUUGACUUGCCUGUUGUGGAGCCUUCAUCUGAUUUAAAGAGAGUGGUUGAUAAGAUUGUUGAGUUCAUUCUGAAAAAUGGUAGACAGUUUGAAGCAAUUCUGGUUGAACAAGAUGUUAAGCAUGGGAGGUUUCCAUUCCUGUUGCCAUCCAAUCUUUAUCAUCCUUAUUAUUUAAAAGUUCUUCAAAAAGCUGAAAAGGUAUGAUCCCCACGUUCCAAUUUUCUGUAUAACGUCUUUGUUUCUUAUUAGACUCUUUUCAGUAAGACACAUUUAUUUAAUUCUGGCUUGGCAUUGGAUAAAACAGGUAGAAUGUGAUAUGGAACACUUUAUUUUUUCAUAUGUUUCCUUUUGUGCCAAAAUGUUGCUUCAUAUAUCUAUGUAUUGAGUUUUCCCUUUGAUUUUAUAUCUUUUUUUUUUUCAUUUUUUGUGGGUGGUUUGAUAUUUUGCAUAUUCAUUCACUUUAGAUGUUAUAAUUGACUGCUGAUUAAAUCAUAAAAGCAAAUUUUUUGGCUCUUAUCUCUUCUGAUGAUGUUAGAUUACCUUUUCUCUGCAGUCAAAGUUACAUUGUAAAGGAUUCAUUUCUGAGAAGCAUGGUUCAUCUGGCCUUGGGGUGGAAAAGAAAGCUGCUCCAUCUCAAGAAAGUGAUAGUGUGUCUGUUGGAUCUGACAUACCGUAUGAAUCUGAGAGGAAAGAGAAGUUUAAAAUGGUAAUCAGCAAAUCAAAGAAGGAUGGACAAGAUCCACCUUCCAAAGCUACCCAGCCGCAAAUUGGAGUUAGUGUGGAUGCAGCUGCUGCUGCUGCUAUUCUUCAGGCUGCCACAAGAGGCAUUAAGAAUCCAAAUUUAGAAAUUCUUUCAAAGACAUCAUUAAAUGUUAGCAGCCAGGCCUCUAGUGGUGAGGGUGGGCAUGUCCCAAGUUUCGGUAGAAAUUCUGGUCCUGUUGCCAAUGUUAUUGCAAAGACGGCAGCUAUUGCAGCUGCAAGUGAGGCUGAUUCGUCUGAGGCAUGCUUGACAAAAGAAGAGAAGUUGAAAGCUGAGAGAUUGAAACGGGCAAAGAUGUUUGCAGCCAUGAUAAAAAGUGGUGCUGCACCACUUAAAACUGAAACAUUGCGAGGCUUAUCUGCUGAACCACCAGAGUCAGGGGUUUCUGGUUCAGGUAUGGAGGGUGGAAAUCUUUCCAGAAAAGAAAGGGAAGGCAGCUCAGUUGCAUUGGAUGUGAAUACUUAUGAUAAAAAUGAAAAGCAUGAAAAGAUAUAUUCUGGUAUUGAUCAUAAUGAACGGCGAUCAAAGAGGAAGUACCGUUCCAGAUCAAAAAGACAUGAAGAGGAUAGCAGACAGGAGGAGGAGGAAGAAGAAGAAGAAAAGAAAGGAAUGGACGAGCACUCGGGUAAAAAGCAGCGAUCACAUCACUCUUCACACCGUAGCAGGGAUAGGCAUAAGCAUAGAAAAAGGCAUUCCUCUUCAAAGGAUAGAGAUUCUCGACGUAGGCAUAAGCACGAUAGUAGUUCAGAUGAUGAACGAGGUCAUAAUUCAGAUUACUCUGAGAGUGAUCAUCAUCAUUCUCGACACAGAUGGAAGCAAGAUAUCUCUUCAGAUAAUGAACAUCGGAGGUCAAGAUUUGGAAAUGAGCAUGGUGGCUCCUCUGAUGAUGAGGAUCAACGCACUCGGCAUCAGCAUAAGCACCAUAGCUCCUCGGAUGACGAGUGCCGUCAGCAAAGGAAGAGGUCUUACUCAAGAAGAGAGGUGGAAUUGGAGGAAGGAGAGAUUUAUGCAAAAUCAGAUCAAUCUAAAGUUAGUGAGGGCAAUGGUGCAAGUAGGGAAGCAUCUCUGGACAUAUCAAAACCAGAUACUGAGAGAAGGGCUCCAUCUCUGCCUUCUGAAACCACCACGGUUUCCGAUGAUUUAAGAGCCAAAAUUCGUGCCAUGCUGAUGGCCACCUUGUAAUUAUCAACUCGACCCUGUUUUUCAGUUUGUACUUUAUAGUUGCCAUGUUUGUUUUCCUGACUGCAACCAUCUAACUUAUUAUUUCUCCCAGUUUUAAUUGAUGAAUUCCUUUUCUAAC